rnacentral:tRNA from 1 species
GGGUUGGUGGUCUAAUGGCUACUGUUUCUGCUUCAUAAGCAGAAGGUCAUGGGUUCAAUCCCAGUCCCAUCCC